AUGCAUUUUUUUAAAGAUUCUGGCCUGGAAGCUGAUCUCCAGCAAUUGGCUCUGGCAAAGACUGGGGGUGAAGGUGGAGAUGGUCCCGAUGUCAGGGAGGAGUUUGCAUCAAAUACAGAGCCUGGUGAAAUGCCAGAAGCAGGUGAAGGGCAAGCCAUUUGCUUGAAAGAAGAUAAACCAUCUAUGCUGUUCUUAUAUUGUGUAUUUGACUAUUAAAGUUCGGUCAAUAAAGUUUUGUUUUCUACUUGCA
rnacentral:lncRNA from 1 species